rnacentral:lncRNA from 1 species
AUGGAUAUAGUUGUCAGUGUGAAGCUGAGUAAGGAACAACGUGCAUCAGACUCACAGAGAAAAUGGACAAGCGAGCUGGCCUUUGUAUCACUAAAGGGAAGGUUUGGAAUAAUUCAUCAGUGUAAUCUUCUCAACCUGGUCAAUCACAUGAACUUAGAAGAUGAUUCCUCCCCAGCUGAUCCUUCAGGUGAGACCUCAGCCUUGGCAAUCAUCUACAUCUAGAUUCCUGACCCAGAGAAACUGUGAGUAAUUUGUGUGUGCUUUUGAGCCACUAAGCUAUGUGGUAAUUGGCUAUGCUGCAAUAAACAAUAAUACACUUGAUGGUAAACAUAGUAUGUUAUCCUUGAUUAGAUCCAAAAAAAGGAAAAAUGGCAUUAGUGGAAAACCUGGUAAAAUAUGAAGACAGUCAGUACUUUAGUUAAUAGUUUUGUGCCUUUGUCAGUUUGUGAGUUUUCACAGAUAGUCUAUGGUUAUGUGUAUGAUAUUAAUAUUGCAGGAAAUUGAAGGGUAUAUCCAAUUUUGUAAGAUUUUAACAACUCUCUAUAAAUCUAAAAUUAUUUCAAAAUAAAUAGAAGUGUAGACAUGGCUCAUAUAUUUGAGAUCAGGUCUUCCUGUUAACUUAAGCCUUCAUGGAACCUAAACUCAUGGUACAAAUGCAAUAACAUUAUAAAAUAUAAAUGAGAUGAGUUUCUAUUUUACUCACUCUAUUCUUCAGGGAACACUAAAGCCCAUUCUUCUUCUCAAGUAUCCAAAACUAAAGUUGAUCCAAGUAACAAGUGGACGCAUAAAAGAUUGUAUGGAAACUAUAAUGCAUCUACAUCUUCAGUUACUAAUCAUAAAAUGAUUUGUAUGAUCAUUCUUCACAUGAUUAGAAUGACUAUGGGAAAGAAGAAAAAGAAAUGCAACUUUCUUGAUUUAAAAAUCGUAUCUGUGCAAGAGUGUGGCACACCCCUGUGUCAGUCCCAGCUGCUAGGGAGGUUUGGUAGGAUGAUCAUGUGAUACCAGGAGUCUGAGCUGUGUAGUGUGCUAUGAUUGUGCCAGUGAAUAACCAUGCACUCCAGCCUGGGCAACAUAGUGAACCCCAUUAAAUAAAUAAAUUAAUACAUAAAUAAGUUACAGAGAUCACUGUUUAUAUUUCUAUUAUUAGGGCUCAAACCUCUAGAUAGAGUUUUUGUUUGUUUGUUUGUUUGUUUGUUUGGCGUUGGAGUCUCACUCUGUCACCAGGCUGGAGUGCAGUGGCGCGAUCUCAGCUCACUGCAAGCUCCACCUCCCAGGUUGAUGCCAUUCUCCUGCCUCAGCCUCCCGAGUAGCUGGGACUACAGGUGCCUGCCACCAUGCCUGGCUAAUUUUUUUGGUUUUGGUAGAAACGGGGUUUCACCGUGUUACCAGGAUGGUCUCGAUCUCCUGACCUCAUGGUCCACCCGCCUCGGCCUCCCAAAGUGCUGGGAUUACAGGCGUGAUGAGCCACUGCACCAGGCCUGAGAUUUUUCUUUAUCUUUGGAGAACUGCGACUCCAGGGCAAACUUUCAAGUAAUGCUUUGCCAUUUUUACUUUCCCUCUCAAGGAUUCCUGGAACUAUACUUUGUAAAAUUAUCACACAGCAUGUAUUUUAUUUUUACUUCUGUUUCCUGUUAAGGCCUCUCUGGAUGGUGGCUAUAACCUAUAGCCUUGCCCAGUACGACUCAGGGUUUGGUAGUGGCUCUGCCUUUCAUGGGACGCUUGCUUAUCCUGAUCGAUGGCCUAAAGCCGAACUGUCCAGCUUACAUCCGGGUAUCUUUCUCAGAGAGUACUUGUUUAUACUGUAAGACACCCUGUGGCUCCUGUCUGACCUGUAUCUAGUUUAUUUCUACCAAGGUAACCACUCUUUAGGAGAGUGCUAAGUGGGAGAAAAGUGAUGUCCAUGUGUGUUCGUCAAGUGAAAUACAGAGGAGGCAACUCAACACAAUGUGUAUAAUGGCAUUAGUAAUGUAUUACUAACCAAUCCCAGUAAGAAGAGGCCAGCAUUCCUUGAAGUACCAAUGAAAAGGGAAGAGCUCUCCAGGCCACACACUCAUAAGCAGCAGGGGUGUUGAGGAGGAAUAGAGAAAGACAUGCUAUUGCCCCAUUUGUCUGAAGUCUUUAUGGGUGUAUUUGUCAGUUUUUUUUUUUUCUACAGGGAGAUAGAUAGGUAGGUAGGUAGGUAGAUAGAUACGUAGAUGGAGAGUUGAUAGAUAGACAAUAGUUAGAUGAAUGGCAUUUUGUUUGGGGAUUUACUCGUGUAACAUUGUAGAGUCGGAGAAUUCCCAAGACAGCCAUCUGCGAGUUUAAGGACCUUGGAUGCUGUAGCGUGAUGGCUCAGUCCAAAGCUGAAAUCUUCAGAACCAGGGAAGCUCUUGGUGUAAUUCUCAGUUUGGGACCAAUGGCCUGAGAAUCCAGGACAUUACUGGUAUAAGUUCUGGAGUUUCAAGGUCAUAGUUCAUGGAGUUGUAUUUUCCAAGGGCAGGAAACGGAGUAUACUUUCUCCUGGAGAGAGACCGGAAAACUUUAAAAUUUUUUCAUUUUUGGUUCUAUUUGGUCCCCAAGGAGAUUGUAUGCUGCCUUCCCUCAUUGAGGGUGGGUUUUUCCCACUAAAUUCCCUGACUCAUACCAACCUCCUCUGGAAACACCCUGGCAGACACACCCAGAAGUAUGAUUUACCAAUUCUCUAGGUAUUCUUUAAUCCAGUCAGCACCUUAAAUUAACCAUAAGUCCAGCACCUUUCUAGUUGGCACCUAUAUGUAUCACCUUAAGCCAUAACUAACUUUAGAUACAGACAAUAACAAGGCAAUAGUUCUACCUAACAUGAUGCAACCAUCCCUGUGCAACCAAAACACACUAUACUAUUUGUCUUAAGAGCAGUGGAAGUUUGUGGGUGAUGUUUACUCUUCUCCUGAUACCCCAUAACUUCAAUACAAGUAUGUUAAAUUGCUAACACUUAACUGUUAGUAUCAAGUGAACACAUUCUUGUGUUUUGUGAAAAAGAAGAA